AAUGUUUAUGGAACAGUAAAUUUUGGCUGUUAACUCAAGCCACAUUGUAUUGUUGAGGUCACUGUGGCAGGGAAUUAUCCUGCUGCGCACUAGUGGGAAAUUGUAUUUUUAGUAUGGACCAACAUCCGAAAGCUGAGGCAAUAUUGUACUGUAUAAUUAUUCAUUUUAUACAGUGCAAUAAACAAUGGUGGCGAAUCAGAAGUAAUGCCAUAGCAGUUCCCGGUCCAUCAUUGAUACCAAGGUAAUAAAAGAAAAAUACAAAAAAAAGAUUUCUAAUAACAAUGAAGCCUCAGAGUUCAGAGCAUCAAAUCCAUGGGACUGUAUGACAAAAUGUAACAACAGUUAUAACCAAUCACUAUUGUUCAUAAAAAACUCAAAAUAAUGAUUUUGACAAAUAUUAUUAAAAACAUU